GGGCGUGUGCUUUGAUAUCCCUGUUGAUGAACUGAAUAAUAUACAGGAGCAGUGGAGGGACACGCGGCGCUGGCAGCUGUCGGUGGCCAGCGAGCUGCCCGAGCUGGAGGAAUUCCCCCAGGAGGCGGCAGGACGAGGCUUCUCCAGGUUCGGAAAAAGCAGGCAAGGAGACUUCAAGAGAAACAGCUGGUUCAAGAAUGGAAAUCGGGGACUUUAACAGAGCGCUUGGUUAACCUCUGCUCCAGAUAAUAGGACUGAGCUGAAUUUUAUAAGACAGUAAAAGCCUGUUAGACACUC